rnacentral:rRNA from 1 species
GUGGGGAAUUUUGGACAAUGGGCGCAAGCCUGACAGAGCAAUGCCGCGUGAAGGAAGAAGGCCUAAGGGUUGUAAACUUCUUUUUUUGAGGAGGAAAAUUGACAGUACUCAAAGAAUAAGCAUCGGCUAACCCUGUGCCAGCAGCCGCGGUAAGACAGGGGAUGCAAGUGUUAUCCGGAAUUAUUGGGCGUAAAGAGUUUGUAGGCGGUAAGAUAAGUCUUUAGUUAAAUAUUUAGGCUUAACCUAAAAAGUGCUAAAGAUACUAUUUUACUAGAGUAUAGGAGAGGUAAAGGUAAUUUUCAGUGGAGCGGUGAAAUGCGUAGAUAUUGAAAGGAGCACCAAAGGCGAAGGCACUUUACUGGAAUAUUACUGACGCUGAGAAACGAAAGCUAGGAGAGCAAACGGGAUUAGAUACCCGUGUAGUCC